CUAAAAUUGACUUCUUUUCUAUCGUAUGUCUAUAUUACACCUAUUUCAAGAAGGAAAACCUUGAGAGCGGCAACACAAAAUCUUCAUCUACAGUUUCCUGCCUGUGAAGUAGGAGCUUUGUCACCCACUGCAACAUCUAUGGAUGUGAGCUGGGCUCCUCAACUUUGUGCAUCAUGGAUACCCCUCUGGCUUUUCUCUGGAGAGGUGAUAAUUGCAUGCUUUGUACAGUCUUCUAUUAAUCUGGUAAUAUGAAAAAUGG
rnacentral:lncRNA from 1 species